AUUUUUCUUUGCAGAAUCACAUCACCCUGGGUUACGUGCGGGGGUGCGUGGAAGGGCCUUUAAUCUGCUUAUCCGGAACAAGGUCGACUACUUUUAUUAGAAUGCAUGCUAUUAUAGAACGGUCUUAAAUAUUAGUCUUUGAUUUUUCAAUUGGAUGUCUCAAUUCAGAAUUAUGAAUUCAACAUCUCUUCGUACACGUGUUUUCCAUCUAUUCAGUGCAACUAAGGAUGGUAUUACAAAAGUGAAGUUCAGGCAUAGAUGGAUCUCUGAAUUUUUUCGACUAUUUGACGUAACAGAGUUGUUAGAAGUAAAAGAGUGAUUGAUUAUUCAUUGUUGAAAAACGAAUUUUCUAUUGAAACAUUUUGAUUCAUGAUGUGUUAUUAAGAUUAAA